ensembl:lncRNA
UGGGGGUAGAUAUGUAUAGGGGUAAGGGGACAGGGAUACUGGAGUGAUGGAGGUAGAUAUGUAUAGGGGUAAGGUGACAGGGAUACUGGAGUGAGGGAGGUAGAUAUGUAUAGGGGUAGGGGGACAGGUAUACUGUAGUGAUGGAGGUAGAUAUGUAUAGGGGUAAGGUAACAGGGAUGCUGGAGUGAUGGAGGUAGAUAUGUAUAGGAGACAGGGAUACUGGAGUGAUGGAGGUAGAUAUGUAUAGGGGUAAGGGAUACUGGAGUGAUGGAGGUAGAUAUGUAUAGGGGGCAGGGAUACUGGAGUGAUGGAGGUAGAUAUGUAUAGGGGUAAGGGAUACUGUAGUGAUGGAGGUAGAUAUGUAUAGGGGUAAGGGGACAGGAAUACUGGAGUGAUGGAGGUAGAUAUGUAUAGGGGAAGGUGACAGGAAUACUGGAGUGAUGGGGGUAGAUAUGUAUAGGAGACAGGGAUACUGGAGUGAUGGAGGUAGAUAUGUAUAGGGGACAGGGAUGCUGGACUGAUGGAGGUAGAUAUGUAUAGGGGUAAGGUGACAGGGAUGCUGGAGUGAUGGAGGUAGAUAUGUAUAGGGGAAGGUGACAGGAAUACUGGAGUGAUGGGGGUAGAUAUGUAUAGG